GGUUAAUCUUGUUCUGCCACAAGUUCCCAUUUUUCGGGGAAGACACUGAUGCUAAGGGAGACAUGGGAGGUGUUGAGGUAGUCGGCAAGGACAACGAUGAUGAACCAAGAGCAAGCGGGCUCAUGGUAGACAUAUCUGCAGCACUGCUCGAAAGAGACCUAGGUGAGGGCAUGCCUGAGCCUGUUGAUGCAUACACAGGGCGCAACUCAUCAGGUUUGUGAGCAAAGAAGCAGACUUUUCUUGUGCAGCCAGUCUCAUCCUUACAGAGCCGGGUUCGGUAUUGAGCAGGGUGGAGCCAAGACUCAAAAACACCAUGUGCAUACUCACAGGAAUCUCCCUUUGGGCAAGCCCCCUUCCGGAAUUCAGGGCACGGGACGCAAC
rnacentral:misc_RNA from 1 species